rnacentral:rRNA from 1 species
AUUGAACGCUGGCGGCAGGCCUAACACAUGCAAGUCGAGCGGUAGCACAGAGAGCUUGCUCUCGGGUGACGAGCGGCGGACGGGUGAGUAAUGUCUGGGAAACUGCCUGAUGGAGGGGGAUAACUACUGGAAACGGUAGCUAAUACCGCAUAACGUCGCAAGACCAAAGUGGGGGACCUUCGGGCCUCAUGCCAUCAGAUGUGCCCAGAUGGGAUUAGCUAGUAGGUGGGGUAAUGGCUCACCUAGGCGACGAUCCCUAGCUGGUCUGAGAGGAUGACCAGCCACACUGGAACUGAGACACGGUCCAGACUCCUACGGGAGGCAGCAGUGGGGAAUAUUGCACAAUGGGCGCAAGCCUGAUGCAGCCAUGCCGCGUGUAUGAAGAAGGCCUUCGGGUUGUAAAGUACUUUCAGCGAGGAGGAAGGCAUUAAGGUUAAUAACCUUAGUGAUUGACGUUACUCGCAGAAGAAGCACCGGCUAACUCCGUGC